GGCGCAGUGGCUUAGUGGUUAGUACUGUCGCCUGUCACCUCCAGGGUUGGGGGUUUGAAUCCCACCUCCGCUC